rnacentral:rRNA from 1 species
UACGUAGGGGGCAAGCGUUGUCCGGAUUUAUUGGGCGUAAAGAGCGUGUAGGCGGCUUGGCAGGUCCGCUGUGAAAACUCGAGGCUCAACCUCGAGAUGUCGGCGGAAACCACUUGGCUAGAGUCCGGAAGAGGAGAGUGGAAUUCCUGGUGUAGCGGUGAAAUGCGCAGAUAUCGGGAAGAACACCCGUGGCGAAGGCGGCUCUCUGGGACGGUACUGACGCUGAGACGCGAAAGCGUGGGGAGCGAACAGG